CUACAGCAGGUUCUCUAGGUCCCAGUCUACAGCAGGUUCUCUAGGUCCCAGUCUACAGCAGGUUCUCUAGGUCCCAGUCUACAGCAGGUUGUUCUCUAGGUCCCAGUCUACAGCAGGUUCUCUAGGUCCCAGUCUACAGCAGGUUGUUCUCUAGGUCCCAGUCUACAGCAGGUUCUCUAGGUCCCAGUCUACAGCAGGUUCUCUAGGUCCCAGUCUACAGCAGGUUCUCUAGGUCCCAGUCUACAGCAGGUUCUCUAGGUCCCAGUCUACAGCAGGUUCUCUAGGUCCCAGGUUCUCUAGGUCCCAAUCUACAGCAGGUUCUCUAGGUCCCAGGUUCUCUAGGUCCCAGUCAACAGCAGGUUCUCUAGGUCCCAGUCUACAGCAGGUUCUCUAGGUCCCAGGUUCUCUAGGUCCCAGGUUCUCUAGGUCCCAGGUUCUCUAGGUCCCAGUCUACAGCAGGUUCUCUAGGUCCCAGGUUCUCUAGGUCCCAGUCAACAGCAGGUUCUCUAGGUCCCAGUCAACAGCAGGUUCUCUAGGUCCCAGGUUCUCUAGGUCCCAGGAGGAUCCUAGUACCUACUGAGUCAACGUGUGGGGGUAA